UGAGGUGGGUGGGUCUCUGCGCCCCCUGCCUACCCCACUUCCCCCUCCAGUUCUCAGCUUCUCUUUGAAGUCCGAGAAGUGAGGAUGCGCCUCGUGGAUCGCAGCGGGGGAGGAAAGGGGAGAAGAGGGGAGUCAAGAUCUUGCUGUAUUGCCGAGGCUGGACUCAAACUCCUGGGCUCAAGUGAUUCUCCUGCCUCAGUCUCCUGAGUAGCUAAGACUACAGGCAUGUACCUCCAUGCCUAGCCCCUCUUACUGUUAAUUAUUGUCAUAUAACCACCCAUAAUGUCGCUUCUCACUUUCUGAAUUAUUGCUCUCCCCAUGUUGUAGCCUCUGAACCCGGAGAACCUUAUUUCUACAAUUAUGUGUAAAGUAAAAUCAGCGAAGUUCUUAAUGAGAAUCUCCCACCUGGUUAAAAUGUA